AUACCAUUUACUUUUGUAAGGGAAAAGAUUAAUUCUUUCUACUUUGAUUCAUCUUCUUCGACUAAAUCUUCUUGGAUUCAUAUUCUUUUUGGAGAUUAGUGUCCGGAGGGAGAAUAAAAGUAUCAGAGCUAGACAAUCGUUAUAACUAUGACACUCUUCCUGUUUUACUCUUUUCGAUGAGGUUUUUGUUUUCCAGACAUUUCUUCUUCCCCUUUUGCUUGUUCUCUACUUUCUUUCGACUUUUGUUCUUCCUCUCCUUCUCUCUUCUUUCACGGUAUGUUACUGUCCUUGCUCCUAAUCUCAGUAUCGAAUCACAAAAAACCAGCAAAUGCCUAGCCAUCGUCAUCGUUUAACUGUUAGGGAUUGGUCUAAGGCUGUUGAUUUUGGGUUUUCGUUAGUUGUGUCUCUUAGUUUAAUCGAUUUUAGUUUCAAUUCUUUUGUAGCUACAGUUAAUUUUUAAUCGAUUUUGGGAUUUGAUCUCGUAUUCAUCGCCACUAUCAUCUCCGGUUCCAACAGGCAACAGGUAAAUUGGAUUAUGUGUUGUAUUUUCUUAACAGGUUACGAGAUUCGAUUCUCUUUUGAUGUAAUUGUUUGUAUUGAUUUUGAUGUCUUUUGCGAUGAAGAGUUCUUGCUGCUUGAGCACAUGAUUACUGGGCGCUGUGAUGGCUUCGUAGGCUUUUUAACACCCAAUUUUUUAUUUUUAUUUUUUGCUCUCAAUUUUGGGUCGAAUCACAAAUUUGGAGUUUGAUUUGUAUUUGUUGCGCAGACCCAUAUUCAUGAAUAGGUUGAGUUUCAGUAGCUAUGGGUUCAUAAUUUCAAUUUUGUUUUAGCUCCAUUGUUCCUCUCCUUAGUGAUGUGAUAAAGACUUUAAUGGAAAAGCAUUUGGAGCUUUGAAUGUUUGCUCUAAGAUUCAUAGUUUCGUUCUUAUUGGUUAAAGAACUCAAUCUAUUCUGCUGAUUUGUUGAGUGUUUUGAUGAUAUUUAGUGUUUGUUGUUAUGUGGGCUAGACGAAAGAAACACCAUAUUCUUUCUACGCGGCAGUGACGCAUCCAUGGUGGCCCUAGGAAGGUGGCUGAGGGUUAGGCUUGUGUCGGUGAGUUGCUAGGUACGGGUGCCAGAUUGGGUACGUGACGGAGAGUUCAUACACAAGAGUUGCAGUACGAUUGGGUAAAGACGAAAUGUAUUAUCCACUAGUCUCCAUUCGAGAAAGGUUGAAAGAGAAGAUAGAGGAAACAUUUGGUUGUGACUUUGAGCUUUUUAUUGAAUUCACUGGUUUGAUUAGUUGGUGCAGAGGAGCCAGUAUUGGUUUGCAUAGUGAUGAUAACAAACCAUGUCUGAUGUGCUGCCACUGUUCUGCAGGUUUGUU